rnacentral:rRNA from 1 species
AUUGAACGCUGGCGGCAUGCCUAACACAUGCAAGUCGAACGGCAGCGCGGGUAGCAAUACUUGGCGGCGAGUGGCGGACGGGUGAGGAAUGCAUCGGAAUCUGCCCAGUUGUGGGGGAUAACUGGCCGAAAGGCCAGCUAAUACCGCAUACGACCGAGAGGUGAAAGCGGGGGACCUUCGGGCCUCGCGCGAUUGGAUGAGCCGAUGCCGGAUUAGCUAGUUGGUGGGGUGAAGGCCUACCAAGGCGACGAUCCGUAGCUGGUCUGAGAGGAUGAUCAGCCACACUGGCACUGAGAUACGGGCCAGACUCCUACGGGAGGCAGCAGUGAGGAAUAUUGCGCAAUGGGCGAAAGCCUGACGCAGCGACGCCGCGUGGGGGAUGAAGGUUUUCGGAUUGUAAACCCCUUUCAUGAGGAAAGAUAAAGUGGGUAACCACUUAGACGGUACCUCAAGAAGAAGCCACGGCUAACUUCGUGCCAGCAGCCGACGG